rnacentral:rRNA from 1 species
CCUACGGGUGGCUGCAGUGGGGAAUAUUGGACAAUGGGCGAAAGCCUGAUCCAGCCAUGCCGCGUGUGUGAAGAAGGCCUUCGGGUUGUAAAGCACUUUCAGUGGGGAAGAAAGCCUUGGGGCUAAUACCCUCGAGGAAGGACAUCACCCACAGAAGAAGCACCAGCUAACUCCGUGCCAGCAGCCGCGGUAAUACGGAGGGUGCGAGCGUUAAUCGGAAUUACUGGGCGUAAAGCGCGCGUAGGCGGUCUGAUAAGCCGGUUGUGAAAGCCCCGGGCUCAACCUGGGAACGGCAUCCGGAACUGUCAGGCUAGAGUGCAGGAGAGGAAGGUAGAAUUCCCGGUGUAGCGGUGAAAUGCGUAGAGAUCGGGAGGAAUACCAGUGGCGAAGGCGGCCUUCUGGACUGACACUGACGCUGAGGUGCGAAAGCGUGGGUAGCAAACAGGAUUAGAUACCCGGGUAGUC